UUGCUAUAACGUAUGAAGAUGGCCGUCCAGUUGAAGCUAAAGGAAUCGGCAGGAAGAUUCUUGACAAGGUUCAGUAGACCUAUAAAACUGACUUGGGAUCCAAGUACUUUGCCUAUGAUGGCGAGAAGACUCUCUUCACCGUUGGUCCUCUUCCCAGCAACAAACUUGACUUCUCGGUUGUUCUUGAAGACGCUCCUUCUAGCAGGUUCGAGACUUCAAACUCCUUUUAACAUAUCUUCACUGCUUUAUAAAGAUGUGAUGAUAAUACUUUUUAUAUGGCAGGAACAACACUGGAAACGGUAGCCCCAAUGAGUCUAACGACGCUGACAGGAAACGAUCAAAGAGGCCCAAUCAGUCCAAGAAGUUCAUGGUGGAGAUAAGUUACGCGGCUAAGAUUCCCAUGCACGCUAUUGCAGCCGCUCUCCAAGGGAAGGAAACGGACAGCCUUCAAGAUGCGAUCAGAGUGCUUGACGUCAUUCUCAGACAGAGUGCAGCUAGACAGUAAAGCUUAUUUCUCAAACUUCUUUUAUUACAACCUUCGUUUUCCUGAUUGGUAAAUUAAUACACAUCUUCUGAUUUUUGGUUUUUUUGGCAGAGGUUGUCUCCUAGUUCGGCAAUCUUUCUUCCAUAAUGACGCCCAGAACUUUGUACCAAUCGGUGCAGGUGUUGUUGGUGUCAGAGGGUUUCAUUCAAGCUUCCGAACAACUCAGGGAGGCUUGUCCUUGAACAUAGGUAAAUCUUAUCUUGAAUUUAAUGUGUGUUAAGACUUUUGGGUAGUAACACUUUGGUUUCUUGAUUCUGUAGACACUUCAACUACCAUGGUUGUACAACCUGGCCCUGUGGUUGAUUUUCUCCUGGCGAAUCAGAAUGUGAAAGACCCCUACUCUGUUGACUGGAACAAGGUACAUCUUCGGCUUCAUUUGUGCUAUUGAAUUUCUACAGAUGAGAAGUUACUUAUCUGUUUUUUCUCUCUUAUCAGGCUAGACGUGUUCUCAAGAAUCUCAGAGUCAAGGUUGCUCCCUCAAACCGAGAGUACAAGAUAAGUGGACUUAGUGAAAGUCGCUGCAAAGAGCAAAUGUAUGUCAAGUGUAUAUUUUUUUAUUACAUGUUGAAGUCGCUUUGAGAUGUUUCUAACAGGUCUGUCUUUGGUUGAUACAGGUUCUCUCGGAAUUCCAAGAACGAUAUGGGCGAAGUUGUGGAGCAUCAGACGACUGUGUUUGAGUAUUUCACCGAGUUCCGUAACAUCCAACUGCAGUACUCUGGUGACUUCCCUUGCAUCAACGUUGGCAAGCCAAAGCGCCCUACUUACAUCCCCAUUGAGGUAACUCUAGUUCAUUGUUGUUCCUUCUUUUACCGGAUUAUGCUUGUACGGUUCAUGACAGUUCUUGUUGGGUUUUUUUUUUCAGCACUGUGAGCUUGUGAGUCUCCAGCGCUACACAAAGUCACUUACCAAUCUUCAGAGAGCUUCCCUGGUUGAAAAGUCUAGGCAGAAGCCAUUGGAAAGGAUGACUUCUCUAACCACUGUAGGUCUUCUGUUCAUUUAUCCUUUUGAGAGUUUGAAGUUUUUCUUUCUGUCGAAUUUGAUUUUAUGAUCUGAUUCAUCUUGCAGGGUCUGAAGAACAGCAACUAUAAUGCUGACUUGGUGUUGCAGGAGAGUGGUGUCAGCAUCGGCUCUAGCUUCACCCACGUGGAGGGCCGCAUCUUACAAGCACCAAAGGUGACUUACUCUUUUUCUCUACUUGCUGUGUAUCUUUUCAUGUCUUAAUCUGGAAGUUCAAUGCAAAUAUCUUUCCUUGCUUCCAAACAGCUGAGAGUGGGUAAUGGAGAGGACUUUCAACCUCGCAAUGGGCGUUGGAACUUCAACAAUAAGGUGGAUGGACUUUCUUAAAUUUUCAGUUAGAUUGAUGGUUCAACCUCUGAUACUAGCACUGAAUCUCUUUGCAGAAACUGGUUGAGCCAACUACUGUCACUAGGUGGGCUGUGGUGAACUUCUCCGCUCGCUGUGACACAAACCGGCUCAUUCCGGACUUGAUUCGCUGCGGCAACAUGAAAGGCAUUGUAAGGGAUCAUUGAUUACUAUAUUUAACUCAGUCAUAUGCACCAGUUACUAAUUCCUCCCUUGUUUUUGUUCUUCCUUCAGAACGUGGAGCCUCCUUACGAAGUGGUCUUUCAAGAAAAUGCUCAGUUCAGGAGUGCACCACCUCACAUCAGAGUUGAAAAGAUGUUCGAGCAGAUACAGUCUAAGCUCCCGGGGAAGCCUAAGUUCCUUCUUUGCAUCCUCGCAGAAAGGAAGAAUUCUAACGUUUAUGGUAAAGCAUUCUACCAUUAAAUAAGAGACUAAGUGAACUCGUAUUCGUGAUUCUCACACUAUCGUCUGUGUUUUUUUUCAGGUCCUUGGAAAAAGAAGAACCUUGCUGAGCUUGGAAUCGUGACUCAGUGCAUUGCUCCGACCGCCAGAAUCAAUGAUCAGUACCUCACCAACGUUCUCCUGAAGAUCAACGCUAAGGUGAUCUCCUAAAGUUUGAAAUUUCAAUCAGUUAUAAUUUAAGAUAAAGAUUAUAAAGACCUUAAAGCUUGAACUGACUUCACUGUUUCCUAUAUGUAGCUCGGUGGUCUAAACUCACUGCUAACUAUGGAGCGCUCACAGGCAAUGCCGUCAGUUACGCAAGUUCCUACAAUCAUUGUCGGGAUGGAUGUUUCCCAUGGUUCCCCUGGCCAGUCUGAUGUGCCAUCUGUUGCUGCGGUAAGAUUAAAUUUUGUUUUCUGUUGAUUGUGAGUUCACUCUUCUAUCUCUCUAGUAACUUGAUGUUUGUUUGUUUGGAAACAAUAGGUGGUGAGCUCCAGGCAAUGGCCACUCAUCUCAAAGUAUAGGGCAUGUGUGCGCACACAGUCUCGUAAAGUGGAAAUGAUCGACAAUCUUUUCAAGCUUGUCCCUGGCAAAGAAGAGAAGAUGGUUGACGAGGGAAUUUUCAGGUCAGUUUCUUGGAUUGUUGUGCUGUCUCAGUAGUAGCUCGUGACAUGGCAGCAGUGUAACUAGGGAUUUUGUGCUUCUUUUCAGGGAGCUCUUGGUUGACUUUUACUCCAGCUCCCAGAAGAGGAAACCGGACCACAUCAUCAUCUUCAGGGAUGGUGUGAGUGAGUCUCAGUUCAACCAGGUUCUGAACAUCGAGUUGGAUCAGAUGAUGCAGGUAUGGAUGAUGAUUCUUGAGCCUCAUUGACCUUAGUAUACAGUUGAAUAUUUAUGAACCUGUUUUUCUUGUGGGUUACGCUAAUAGGCAUGCAAGUUUCUCGAUGAAAAAUGGAACCCCAAGUUCACAGUGAUCAUUGCUCAGAAGAACCACCACACCAAGUUCUUCCAGGAUAAAGGACCAGACAAUGUUCCUCCAGGUAUAAUCCAUUUGACCUGGGCAUGAUUGAUCUUAUCUUGUAAAUGAGUUCUGAAACCUGUUUCUAACUGACUUGCAGGGACUAUCAUUGACAGCAAGAUCUGUCACCCUCGGAACAACGACUUCUACCUCUGCGCUCAUGCGGGGAUGAUUGUAAGUAACAUGCCUCAUCGGUUGGUUUUUCCUUUGUAUUUGAAUGAUUGAACGAAAGCUUGACACUGUUCUGUUGAUUUUGAAUGUAUUAGGGAACUACAAGGCCAACGCACUACCAUGUGCUGUACGAUGAGAUCAACUUUACCACAGAUGACCUCCAGGAACUUGUGCAUUCACUGUCCUAUGUGUAAGCAUUAGAUCACUUUCUAGCUCUCUUAUCUGAAACAUUUGUUUGUGGUGUGUUGGCGAUGUAUACUAAACUUGUGUGGUUUGAUACUUGUAGCUACCAGAGGAGCACCACUGCCAUCUCAGUCGGUAAGUUCUCAAAUCUUUUUCUUGAUUUCUGCUGAUAGUUUAGAUCUUUGGCAUGUAAUGUCUUUGGCCUCUAUUGAUUGCUGCUGAUAGUUAAGAUCGUUUGCAUGUAAUGUCUUUGGCCUCUAUUGAUUGCUGCUGAUAGUUAAGAUCUUUGGCAUGUAAUUGCUGUGUCUGCUCAUCUAUAGUUGUGUCUUCAACUUUAUGAUGUGUUAGUAUUAGUGAGAAUGGACCACAGCUAAUUUUACUGCUUUCUUACCGGCAAUAAUCUCAAUGCAUGAUGGUUGCGCAAGUAUCUCAAGUUUCCUUUGUGUCUUUUCUGCAGUUGCACCGAUUUGUUAUGCUCACUUGGCGGCUGCACAGAUGGGAACUGUGAUGAAGUUUGAGGACAUGUCUUUGUCUGAGACAUCAUCGAGCCAUGGCGGGAUCACGACUCCUGGAGCAGUGCCUGUGCCACCCAUGCCAAAGUUGAACCCGGAGGUUGCAAGUUCCAUGUUCUUCUGCUGAAGGAACAGUCCAGUCUACCACGGCUUCUAUCUUUCUUUUUGCUUAUGAUCGUACCAACCAAACUUUAAACGCUCUUAGACUCUUCUCUUGGUCGAUGCUUCCACUUGUCUUUUUCAUCGGCCCUUAAUACUCUUUAUGAUUUCUUCUGUGUUUUGGAUCUUUUGAUGGGCGUUGGUUGUGGAUAUUUGAUCUAUGCUUUAAUCAAAUCAGUGAUUGUAAUGUUUUAACUUUGGUAGUUUAAUCAGCUGAUUGAAUUUAAACUUGCAACAGAAGUUAGGGUUUUUAAAAUGUUUUUGUGUGUGAUUUGAAUCUUUUGAUAGGCGCUGGUUGGAGAGGAUAUUUGAUCUGUGCUCUAAUCAAAUCGGUAGUAUUUUAAGACGUUAUUGUUGUUUUUAGCAGUUUUCCUGUUUGACCUUUAGUUUUAUCAACUGAAUUAAUGUAAACUUGCAACAGAAGCUAGGAAUUUAAAAUGUUUGUAUCAAAGUUGCCACGACUCCAAAGUAUUCUAAAUACCUCAUCUAGGGAUGGCAUCUUUAAAUUUAAAUUUAGGAGUUCUGCUUAACCGAAAGAUAGAAGAUACUCCAAUAUGAAAUAAGCAAGCAGACGAUUGACAAAAAUAAAAUAAAAUCUAAUAACUAAAUAAUAGUUUGAAGUGAACAGAUCUCUUGUCUUUACUAAAGUUAAAACAGUACAACCGAUAAUGAAGCUAUAGCUGCUGCGUUUGGGCAAUGGCUGUUGGGGUGUAGCAGUCCGUGGGGUUGAGGGGGAACCUGUAAGACUUCCUGAACCAGUGAAUGAAGCUAUAGCUGCUGCGUUUGGGCAAUGGCUGUAGAUCCCGGAAGUUGAGAGUAUCCGUUGGCCAUGACUCUCGCAUUUAUGUUCAUUCCUCAUUAUAACAUAAUGCAACAUUCAAUAGAUUCAACGAUGGGGAAGAUGCAGUUGUUUAUUAUCAAGUAUUAUCUUCCAGGUUACUGUUUAUAUGAUUUGGAGAGAGAGGAAUAGAAGAAGACAUGGGGAACACGCCUCUCCAACGGCUCUGUUGAUAAAUCUGGAGAGAGAGGACUAGAAGAAGACUUGUGCACUUUUCCCUUCGUUAUAUAUUCAAAGUUUGCUAAUGUAAUUUACGUAUUGCAUCCGUUUUCAGGUAUUUGGACCCAGUUAUGCUGUUGGAUUUGUUCAGAAACUCUUGAAGGUAACCACUUUCAAGCUAGUCAAAUCGCUUUGUUCGUCUAUGCACACUCUUUAGCUAGAUAGACAAAAGUUUUUUGGGUAGCCAUGUGAACUAAUGUUUAGAACUAUGUGCAUACAAGUAAAAGGCAAUGAGAGAUUACUAAGAGCUGUGAUUAUGCAGGAAGGCUUGCAUGCAAGCACAGUUAGUCACAUCUUGUUAAGGAAGCUGUGAAAGAACGUCGUUGCAAAGACUAUUGCACAACAAUCGUGAUUGUCUUCAAACGCGGAUGACGAAAAGAAAAGCCUGUGGGGGUAACUGUUUUUCUUUUGGCUUUGUUUGAAGUGUUCCAAACCUUUUAUUGUAACACUCUUUUUUUACAUGUCAAUGGAUCGGUGACCACCACUAGAGUAAAAAAAAUGACUUUGAAGACUAAACAGAUCUCUGUUUUGAUAAUGUAAAAAUUCUUCAUUGUUCAAUAUGCAUUCCACUUUUGAAUGAUGAUACUGAAAUAGUUUUCAAAAUUAAAUUCCGUUUAACUUUGGUGUAAGCAUAAAUAACACCACACACUGCUUCAAUGUAAGAUUCAAUGCUUAUUUGAUUUACAUAACACUGAACUUAGACCAUCGCCAAUAACAUUUGCUAUUUUCACCUUUAAAAAUGAACUUAAACCAUCUCAAAUGUAUUAUUUUCACCACUAAAAUAGAAAAACUUUGAAAUAGAAGUGAGAUAUGGUUCAAUGUAUUCCUCUAAAAUAAAAAUCUCUAAAUAUAGAGUAAAAAUAGAAAAAUAAUAAUCUAUAUUAUAGAAGAAAAAAUAGAGAUAGAUUAUGAGUAAUUUCACUUUCACCUGUAAAUGCUAUUAUAGAGGUGAAAAUAGCAAGAUGCUCUUAGAAGCACAAACUUGUCGAAUGGACCAAUGCAAACCCCAAAGCUGCACCAGUCAGGUCGCAUGGAGCAAAUACAGGAAGAAAGAACCGAGCAUUAAGGAAUAAAUUGUGUUUCCUCAACUAUUUAAAUAGCAAACUCCAAAAAGCCGACAGACACUCAGCAGCAAAAAGGGUAAUAACAAUAGUAUUAAUUGUAAAAUUUAGAUUUAAAGUAAAAACUCUCAUCUCAUGUUCAUCAUAAUACUCUUUCUAGCUUUUAAAUUUUCAGAAAACGGUCUCAGGUGACACCUCUCUGUAGCAGUAACUCUAAAACCUCACCAUAGAGAUGAAACAAAGAUUUAAGUUUAGGGAACUCAGACUCCUUCGUCAGAAGCAUUUUUCUUAACCCCCUCUUGGUGCAACUCGAAAGCUGUCUCCUGCAGGUCAAAGACCCAGAAACCAGUUCAGAUUGGAUGUUUCUUCAAUUUGGUACUUCUAAUAAUUGAAAUCGUAAGACUAGUUAAGUCACCUUUUUCCUCGCAAGAUUGGGAUCAAGCGCUUGAGGAAGCACCUGAGAGCGCAGUCACUUUUCCAACAGCAAUUGUUUUCCCUGUAGUGAGACCCCAAAUAGAUUUGUAAACCAUGCACAUAAAUUAAGAUGCUAAGAUGAGUGAUCAUAUUCUGCAAUGCAUUUAAUAUAGUCUCAGAAAAUCUUUACCUUCAGUUCGUAGAGUGAAUCUUCCAAGCUGCAGAAAAUCUGAGAAUUUUUCAACACAGAUUGAAUUGCUAACCUGCAGCAAUGGAUAGCAGUGAUUAGGAGUAGAAAGACUGGAUAAAAAAAUUGUUAGAGCUGUUAAACAGAAAUCUCGUGCGAAUGCUCUCAACGUUCCUGGUAUCUUUGCAACAACGGUAUCAUUUCAUGCUAUUUCUUAGAUUGGCAUAGAAACUUAAACCAUAUCUUGGCGGAAAAAAAUGUCUAUAAAUAAAGCAUUAAAGGAAAGAAAGGAAAACAGAAGGAACCAGACCUGUAUACGGCAGACGACAACAGCACCAUUCUUCUUCACAUACAUAAUUUUUUUUUUUUUCAUGGGUUUCCUCGUCUUCAUGUCAAUUUGGCUUAUCAAUUCAAUUAUCUCACAUUCCUCAACAACUGCAUGAAUGUGAAGAAUAGCCUUGUAACCAGCUGUAAAAAUCGCCUACAGAAGCAGAAAUAAAGAUGACACGAGGGAUUAAAAUUCAGAAUAUAUAUAGUAAGAACGCAACACUAUUAAGAACUGCAUAACAUAAAUGCUUACAUUGUCAGGCAGCUCAAUGAUUUGUAGUUGGGCAACGAACUCAGUAACGGCAGGUACAGGCUUUACUGCAACAGAAAACAAAGAAAAACUACAAAUUAGUACCACUACAAAAAAAAAAGAAAAAAAAAAAGAGAAGACUAUGAUUCGAGAUACCAACGAAAAUCACGUUAAAAUCAUCAUACUCACCCGUGCUGGAUAAAACAAAACCUGCAAGGAUAUCCUCGUCUUCAAUGCCAGUUAUACGGACUCUCAAAUUCUCACCCUGUCCAGCGCGCUUAACUUUAUCUUCAUCGCAAUAUAUAGCAACAACUUUCACGUGUUCCUACAUUGGUAGAUGAUAGUUAUCAAAAAGAGAAUGAGCUGGCAAUUAUGUAUAAUUAUGCGAGAGAAGACAACUUGAAAGUACCUUAUUUGGCAUAACAAUCAAGGAAUCACCCUCCCGGAUGCUGCCAGAUUCUACCUUUCCCAUAACAACAGUUCCCAUGUCUUUGAAUUUAUCAAUAAUGGGCAUCCUAUACAAUUCAUAAGAUCGCAGUCAAAAACAUAUAUACUUACAGACAAUAAUUCUCAUUUGAACUAAAAGUAUGAGAAAUAAACUAUAAAAGACAUUUCCUACUAUAUGUGGUACAGAAAGCGGUGCGGAAAAAAAAAAAAAAAGGAUAUGGACGCUAUGCUCAAAAAGCGACAUGGAUAAACGGGAUUUCAUGAAUGCAUCAAUUAGUAUUUUUAAAGGCACACACUCGAAUGAAUAAGACAAAGCGGCGUUUAGCGUUCACCUGAAUGGACCAUUAGGAUCCCGUGGCGGAACUUCAAUAGCAUUGAGGACUUCAAAAAAGCUAGGGCCACUAAACCAAGGACAAACGUCUCGAUCCAUAUUCUUGUCUAUAUUAACCCCCAUUAAACCAGAUAUAGGCAGGAAGAUAACAUCUUCAAAACAAAAAAGAAGUAAAAAAAAAAAAACAAAUUAAACAUGCAAUUACAAAAUAGCUAAUCUGUAACGUUUAUAGUUCACUGUAUGUAUACCUUUCUUUUUGUUGUAGCCAGAGGUUUUAAGAAACGGUACCAUGUUUUGUUCUAUUUCAUCGUAUCUGCAUAAGAAGACAUAAAUACGAGGAUGAAUGGGAAGAGAAUAUGAAAAUCAACAGUGACAGGGCUUUUGUAAGUACCUCUCUUUCGACCAGUUAACAGUUGGAUCAUCCAUCUUGUUCACAACAACCACUAGCUUUGACACUCCCAAUGUUUUUGCAAGUUGAACAUGCUCACGUGUCUGCCCACCCCUCUCAUAUCCUGUUUCAAAUUCACCUUUACGAGCGGAUAUCACCUACAACCGAGAAGCGAAGGCAGGGAAUUAAUACGUUCCCUACGAGAGACCAAUUCUAAAGUAAGGAAUCAAAUCAAAUUGACAUAGUACUGACGAACCAGUACACCAAUGUCCGCUUGAGAUGCUCCACUAAUCAUAUUUGGUACAUAACUCUUGUGGCCCUUCAGGUUCAAAAAAGCAAAGAGAAUUAGAACAAUAUACUUGAAAUGAAAGACAAAUAAACAAAACAAAACAAAAAACUAUUACUUCAGGUUGAUCCUUACCGGGGCAUCCAGAAUUGUAAAUCUGGUGGUCUCAGUUUCAAAAUGAGCCCUUCCAACUUCAACUGUUUUACCCUGUCAACGUAGCAAGUAAGCCAUACCACAUAUUAAAGUUAAAAAUUCACCAUAAACAUUGUUGGGAAUACUACAGACACGUGAUUUCUGUCAUCUCGGACACAUUUAUAUAUAGCAAACAAAGAAACAUUAGUCAACCCCAGGAAGUACCUUGGCCCUCUCUUCUUCAUUUGUAUCCAUUAUAUAUGCCAUAUACCUGGCAUAAAAGACAAUAACAAGUUUAUGGAAACAGAAAGUAGAACAUAAACAUUCCUUAGCAGUUUGGAUUGAUCAGAAAUACUCACCAGCUUUCUCUACUUUUUUCUUUUGCUUCCUUUUCAUACUUUUGGAUUUGUCGGUCGUCCACCUGACCGCUAAGGAAGAGAAUUUGUCCUCCGAUAGUAGACUUUCCAGCAUCUACAAUGGAAAAAGUGGCCAUGUGAAUAUUAUCAAUUAACUUUGAAACCAUGUGUCUACACAAGGCAACUUUCUUACAAUCUAAAGAGGAACAAACUUUCCCGACCAGUUUUCUAUUAAGAAAAUCGAAUAGAUGGAAAAAAAUCAUCAAGUAGAUGGCCAUACCAACAUGUCCAAUGAACACCACAUUUAAGUGUCUCUUUUUGUUUGCCUCUGCAACUUCUUCCGCUUCCUCUUUGGCAGCCUUUCCUUGGGCUGCCUUCUCUCUGGCUAAAUUGGUUGAAUGGACAAGAAAGAUAAACAAGUCUUGAAUCGGACACCACGAUCACAGAAAGAUGAGAAACGAGUAGUAUAGGAGAUAUAAGAACCUUUCGCUGGGUUAUGCACUGGAUGGAGCAUUUUCUGUUCAUGAUCCUCAGAAGCUGAAACCACAAAAAAAAAAACGAGGUAUACCUCAACUAACUCCCUUUUAGGGAAAAUAAAAUAGAAAGAAAGGAAACAUAAAAGAUCUAUCAACCUUGUUGCGCAUCAGGGAUUGGUGUUGAUUCUCGAACCUCAUCUUUCAGGUCUGUGAAGCAAGGAUAAAUAUCUAGUAUUAGAAUUAUUAGAAUUAGCGUUCAAUCUCAUGACAGCAUAAACCUUGGACCCGCCUCCCUCAAUCUCAAGCUAAUAUCAUGCAUAUGUAAUAUACACAGUGAAACAAUAGGAAUAAACCGACCCACAGAUAGACAAUUCAAACAGUGUGACAGCGAAAAUAUAAACAAAAUAGUGUCAUGCCAUACUGAACCUUCUUCCAUUUUAUUAUCCAAUAUCUCAACUCCAUCUGUGUUCUGACCUGCCGGAACGACAACUCCAACUCCAUUGUUUUCUUCUGCAUAUUUCAACACCAACUUUUAGCACUAUGCGAAUUGUGAACUAAGAAACAUAAUUUUAAGCUUAUCAUCUUCAGGAAUUACCUGCGGAAUCAAGCUGUAAUGCGCGGAUUUCAGCCUCAAUAUCUACAUCGUUGACAAAAGUAAAAAGAUAGAAUAACUCAGAAAUCCCAAAUAUUACCAAAGCACAUACUAAUGAUUUAACUGGAACGACGAGACUAAUAACACUAAUAUGGAGAACCAUUCAGCUUUCACAUAAAAGGAAGACUACUCGAUUUAUGUACAGAAACACCCCCAAAGUGUAUGUAGAAACCACUACUUGAUCACGAAAAGAAAACGAAACUACUGAGAAUGAGAAAUUGGUAUAACAAAUCUCAGUUGGAAACAGAAUAUUAAAGUCAACCCAGUGAUUCAAAACCCUAAAAAUCCAAUAACUAAUUCUCAUCCCGAAACUUUUACAACGAAUCCAUCGGCUCCAAGCAUACACCCAUAAUAGAGAGGUAGGUUAGAUCGAGUAACAGACGAGAACUGAAAUAAGAAAAAAGCUCGAGAAACCCUACCCAUGGCGGAUGAUGCUGGAACAGAAGGAGAGGAAAACUGUUCUAGGUUUUAUUAAGACGCGCUAAACUUUUGCCCGCGUGGAAGUUAUAUAUAUAUACUACGAAUAAUUUAUUAGUUUAUGUCUUAUACCAAAAACGAUCUGUACAAAUAAUUUAUUUAAUACUAAUUUUCCUUUUCUCAAAUCAUAAACAAAAAAAGAUUUGUACAAAUAAUUUUGAUAAAUUCUCGAGGAGAGUCAUUUAUAUUUUAUCUUCACAAACAUAGUCAUUAAUAAAUAAAAUUACCAAAAUAAUUUUAAUUAAAGAUUAAAAAUAUAUUUUUAUCUUAGGGUUAAUUAAUCUAAACUUAUAGUAUAGAGUUAAAGGGUAAGUUCUUGGAGUUAUGGUUUCAAAUUUUAAAAUAUUUAAANNNNNNNNNNNNNNNNNNNNNNNNNNNNNNNNNNNNNNNNNNNNNNNNNNNNNNNNNNNNNNNNNNNNNNNNNNNNNNNNNNNNNNNNNNNNNNNNNNNNNNNNNNNNNNNNNNNNNNNNNNNNNNNNNNNNNNNNNNNNNNNNCUAUUUUGGUCAUUUUCUUCCUCGAGAGCUAUUUUGUGACAAAAACUUAAAAAUAACUAUUUUUAAUACUAAUUUUCCUUUUCUAAAAUAAUAAAGAAAAUAUAACUGUAAAGAAUUGAUAGUAAUUAUCCUUUUUUAAAAAAAAAAUUGACCAAAAAAUUGUAAAAAGUGUUUAAUGUUAAUUUUCCUUUAUUCAAAUCUGAUUUUUAGAAAAAAUAGGUAAAAGUAAUUUUUGUUUUUACAAAUCCUAUACCAAAACUGAUUUGUAUGUUCUUUUCUUCUUAUAAACUGAUUUGAUUGCGAAUAAAUGGUCCUCUAAACAAAAUGUUACAAAAAGUCAAGAAAAUCGAUAACUUAAAUUCACCAUCUGUAAGACAUAGCUAUAACACCUUAUACUGAUUUUAAAUUUGAACUCACACAAAUAACCAAAGAAUUAAUAACGAACCACUUAUUUCUUUUGAGUUCUCACACUAAACAAGACCUUCAAGAACGAAUCCACGCUGCACACUCCAAGUCUACAUCUAUAGGCCAAGUACACAACAAUCUAUCAUUGAUUUCAACAAUCUAUCAUUGGUACUUAACUGUAUAAGUAUGUUUCCCAAAUAAAACUUCAUGUUAAAUUCCAACUAAAUUAACUUUGUUACGACUAUCGGCUAUUUAUUCUACUUUUAUUGAAUCGAUUAGUCAAAACUACUUAUGUUAUUCCAUUUUGAACUAAGCAACUUCAAAACAAAGUAAUACACUACAUUCGCUAAUCACUAUCAAAUGGAUCGAAAAAUAUCAUUAUCUUCUAAUAUAUUUUCAUUUUUAUAUUUUUGAACAUAUUUUCUUUACUAAAACCAUAAAAUGAAUUGUAAAUUCAUGUAAAAAUAAAAUAUACGAAUCCGGUGCGUAACGCCAGAAUAACACUAGUAUAUAUAUAAUCAUAGAACAUGUCCUUAAAAGCUAAACAAGCAAGUAUACAAAAAUGAGAAGGUGCAUAUGAUCAAAAAUUAAAUAUUUAGAAAUAAGCAAAUAAAUGCCCUACCAACCACGUUGGUCAGAAAAUAUAUUUUAAAAAAAUGUAUGUGUUUUCCCUUCCGGCUUUCUUAUCUAAAUGCAAGGCUACGUUGGGGUAUGUUUCUGUUGUUGCUAAUUUAUCUGCAGUUCUACAACCAUCAUUAAUCACACUCAGUGAUUUCCAUCUCACUUUAUCAUCAGACAUAUUUACCCAUUUGGAUUAAUAAAUUAGAAAUGCCCUACCAUUUACCACGUUUCACAUGCAGAUUGAUCCAGCUUGUUACUUUCUCUAACAUUUAUUUCACCUGUUUUCAGAUAAUCGUAACCCAAAUAAAAAUCGAAGCAAAACUGUUCAGUGGCGCUAAUCCAUCCAUAUAUCACUAUUCGACAGUCUCACCUACAAAUGAACGAAUAAUAAAGAAGUCAUUCAUUAAAGUAUGAAAUGUAAAAACGCAAACCACAAUGAUUCAUAUAUACAAGUCAGACAUAAACAGUACACAGAUAAUAAAUAACUAAUCUCUACACUAUGUUGCACCGGGACGGAUACGGGGACAGAUACGGGAACGGGGGCGGGGACGGGAAACGGCUAAACUUAAAAUUUAUGGAUACGGGUACGGCAUGGGUACGUUAAUAAAAAAGAAAAAAAGAAUAUAUAUAUNNNNNNNNNNNNNNNNNNNNNNNNNNNNNNNNNNNNNNNNNNNUAUAUAUAUAUAUAUAUAUAUAAUCAAAUCAUAAUUCUCAUAUAAAAUAAAACAUUAGAAAAUUGUAUAUAGACAAAACAAAAUAUGUAUAAACAUAAAAUUCAAAAUAAAAGACACAUGUAACAUAAUUCGUAUAUAACUUGAGAAGCAUGGAACGUGAAAAGAAUAUAAACUAAACAACACGCUUAUGUAAGAAUUGGCAAACGCAAAACAGAGUUUGUAAUACUUGCUGUGUUUUCCUUAGACAUGGAGAAAUGACAAUUGAUGAAAAAGAUAAAAGAUAGUAAGGGUUUGCUUAAGAUUAAAAGAAUAUAGUUUAAAACUUUGUAACCAUAAUCCUUUAUAUAAGGAUGUGUUUCCUUGUUUUUCAAUUGUUUUCCAAAUAUAUGACAUAAUAAAUGUAAAAAUCGAUACUGGAUUUACAUCUGAAACGUUUCCACAACCUAGCUACACGUCCCCAAAAACCUUUGCCAUCCCCGCUCUAUCUGAAACGUUUCGGAAACGUCCCCAAGCCGUCCCCACCACGUCCCCGUCCCGGAAGCGCAUCUGGUACGUGAGACGGCAGUGAAUUGCCGUCCCCGUGCUUCAUAGUCUCUACAUCCCCGAAUUUUUGGCAUAAACAGUAUAUAUACUCAUUUUGUAAGGAACAAAUUUAGAUUCCUUUAAAUUCACAUUUUUUUAAUAACCAAUCAUAUUGUCACAUAGAUUAGUGAAUAAAAAAAUAUUAAAUAUCUUUUUUAAAAAUAAAAAUAAAUGAAAAAUAAUGCAUAUUUUAAUGACGCUAACGCCGCCAAUUAAAUCCUAAACCAAAAUCUUAUACCCUAAACUCAAAUCUUAUACCAUAAAACCCAAACCUACACCUUAAACCCGAACCCUAAAUUUAAACAAUAUACUCUAAACCCAAACUCUAUACCCUAAACCCAAACUCUAGACCCUAAACAAAAACUUUAGAUCCUGAACUCAAAUCCUAGACUCUAAAUCCAAACUUUAAACCCUAAAUGAUGAACCCAAAUUGUGGACUAUAAAUCCAAACCUCAAAUCCAAACUUUAAACUCUAAAAAACAAUAUCAACAUUAAUCCAAACAUUUAUAGUUUAGGAUUUCGGAUUUGAGUUUAGGGUUUAGAGUUUGGGUAUAGAAUCUAAAGUUUAGAGUUUAGAGUUUAGGAUCUAGGGUUAGGGUUUACAGUAUAGAAUUUGGGUUUAGGAUAUAUAGUUUGGGUUUUAGGGUUUGGAUUUAGGGUAUAGGGUCCGGGUUUAGGGUCUAGAUUUUGGUUUUGGUUUUAGGGUAUAGGGUUUGAAUUUAGGAUAUAUGAUUUUUGGUUUAGGGUUACGGUUUGGAUUUAAGGUUUAGGUGGCGGUGUUAGCGUUAUUAAAAUUAACGAUAUUUUUUUUUCUAGUUAUUUUGAUUUUUAAAAAAAAUAUUUAAUAUUUUUUAUUCAUUAAUCUAUGUGGCAAUAUGAUUGGUCAUUAAAGUUGAGGUGAAUUUAAAGUUCAUCCUAGGGUUUCUUAUUUAAAACCGGUUCGAUUUUUAAUUUAUUGUAACUUUAUUCGUUGAACCAAACCAUUUCUUUUAACCAGACUAUAUGGUCGUAUAUAUCACCUUUUCCCCAUAACCUAAUUAAAAAAAAGGUGUAGAGAGCAGCAGCCGUAUUCCUCUUACGAUCACCUCUUCUCAUUUGAUCUCCCAAGCUCUCUACUCCUUAUCUCGUAUCAUUCAUUAAUUUGUUCUCUUUCUCUUCACCUGCGUGGUUGUUCUUAUCUCCUCUCCUCACCAUCUCUCAUUCUCUUGGCUUUGAUGGCGAUCAAAGGAGGAGCACCAUCGUCGUAACCAACCACCACGAAUUAACGUGCGGAGUUGUGUCAGCCCGCUGUAGAUCUAUGCCGUCAUCAUUCAAGCAAUCAAAAACCACUGCCGUAGAUCCGAUCUGCUGAUCUCGCCUGUAUGGUUGCAGCCGCGAAGCCGCUAUCACCACUCGUCUACUUUGCGAUCUCGUUCCAUGUUCACCGUAAGCUUCCGCAAUUUGUUUCCCAUACGUGAUGUCGUGUUGUACGAAUGACCUUAAUUGUGUUAUUUGGUCAAACGUGAGCUCAUGCAUAGGGGUUACAUCUCAUUUCCUUGUUUCUUGGCAAGCAAGUAAUUCCAACCAUAAACCCUACCUUUAUAUAUUUUUUAAAAUAUAUUUCUUGUUUCGAAUCUAAUUUCCAAUAUGGUGUGUCGUGGCCAAAGUCAAAAUCAAUGGUGAAUCUCUAGUUGUUAUUGGUGAUCAAGUCAUCUCGUGCUUAUGAUUUCUGAUCUUAGCUAAGGUGAGGGUAUAUUCCAUAAAUUUCGUAUUAGUAUAAAACUUUUUUAUAUCUUGACAGUUUGGUGUCUUUGAAAUAAUUGUAUUUAUUUAUUUCGUUUUUAAAUUAAUGAUUUAUACGACUUUUACAUUCAGUUUUUGAAAUAUUUUUAUAAUUCAGUUUAAAGAUGUAUUUUUCUUGAACUUAUUUUAUUAAAUAUUUUGGUAUUUUAUUCCGUUCUGAAUAACUCGGUGUAAUUCGAUAUUUUACCUGUAGUAACACGCGGUGAGGAGGAGACGGGUGCUACACAUUUAGUUGGAGAUGGAAAGAUUGACCACAUAAAUGAUUUGGAGAAACUGUGAUCAAUAUAAUCUAUAAGCAAAUCAAUAUAAGGAGAUGCUAGCCAAAGUUUUAUUACGGGUAAAUGAAACAUGUUACAACUCUGUUUUAUCCUAUUUCAGUAUAUACCAUGACAACCUGAUAUCAUAACACAUUAACACUUGACAAGUUAUUGGUUUUGUGUGUUAGGUCAUCAUCAUGGACGAUGACUCAGGGUUCUUGUAGUGGACGAACUUAAAGUAGUGGUUAAUGGACUCUUUGACUGACAGUCCACAAGAACCUGAGCCUGAUUAUCAAAAAAGGCAGUGAGUUCUUUUACAAAUCUUGUUUAAAAAAAAAAAAAACAAUUACCAGCAACAGAGUGUUGUACUUCAAGUGUUUGCUUUACUGAGAAGAAGAUUCAGAAAAUACCUUUUCGGUUCAAAAUUCUGAUUUGGUUCGACUUUUCCAUCCGCAAAUGUUGGUUGAAAAGUGAAUAGGCAUAAAAGCCUUUGGGCCAUUUUAGGAUUGAAACCGUUUCUAAAACAAUACAACGACGUCAUUUCCCGAAGAGAAGGAAGCAUGACGGUUGAAGAGAGAGAUAUAUUAUUCCGAUUCCGAAGACGAAAUAGACGAAAAAAAUAAUCAGGAAGAAACCUAAACAAAAUAUCAAACCAUGGAAGAAAGCAAGACGAUGACGACGGAGAUGAACGAGAAUCUGAUCACCUCUUUCCUCGAGAUCACAUCCUCAUCAAGAGAAGAAGCUGCUUUCUUCCUCGAAAGCCACCACUGGGAUCUCGAUGCUGCCGUCUCCACCUUCCUCGACAACGACGCCACAGCCGCCGCCGCCGCCAACGAUCUCCCAGCUGGUCCAAACCCUAGUCUACCUCCUCCUUUGAUCCCCGCCGCGUCUCCUCACUCUCCGUCCGAAAAUCAAGGAGCUGGUAAUCCGUCUGGGAGCAUCCGCACGCUCGCCGAUCUGAACCUUUCCCCCGCUGAUGAAAGGCAAGAGUACUACACCGGUGGACAGACUGUUGUAAUCAUCUUUCAUUAGCAAUGUGGAAUCUUGAUGAGACUCAUCUUAUCCAAAAGCUGAAGAAUUGUGCUAUUGAUCGCUUAAUCAUGUUUUAUAUUUAUUGUUUGUGUUGGCUUCUCUUUUAAGCUAAUGGACUUUUUUUUGGAUUGUGCCUUGUGUGUGUAGUGGGAUGAUGGUUCAAGAUCCUAAGAAACCAAAAGACGUUGAUGCACUCUCUGAGCAAGCUAGGCUGUCAACUGUGGACAUACCUGUUGAAUCAUCGAGAUUAGCUUCUACAAGCGCUUCUGGGAUGUUGUCUGGUGAACCUGUUCCCUCUGCUCCUCAGCAGCCGCAGGAACAGCAGCAAGACAAGCUUCAGUCGGUUAUGCACACCAUCACUUUCUGGAGGAACGGUUUCACCGUUGAUGAUGGUCCUUUAAGGAGGUUCGAGGACCCUGGAAACGUUACCUUUAUGGACGUAAUAUCCAAUUUUUUUCUCUCAUUCAAGGUUUAAUACAACGUCAUAGUACAUGUUAUUUAUUGAAAUAGGAAUCCUUAUCAUAAAUGUUAUGUCUUUCUUUGCAGAGCAUUGCGAGGUCAGAGUGCCCCUGUGAACUUGAACCAGUGGAUAGGAAGAACAGUGUUCGUGUUGAACUCGUCAGGCGUGAAGACAACAACAUAGUAACUCUCAUUCCCUUCUCUCACUAUAAUCCUCUGGAUUCUUAGUCUGUAUCUCUUGACAUGCAGGAACCACCAAAGCCCAAAAAUUCAUCCCAAGGUGUAGAGAGAACCCUUGGAGCCGGAUUAGUUGCAGCAGAAGUACAAGCUCCACCCGCACAGCUGAACACCGCACCAGUACCAUCAGUAGGGCUAGUUGUGGACCAAGCAGCACCAACAACUUCGAUCCAGCUAAGAUUGGCAGACGGGACACGCCUUGUAUCCAGGUUCAACAACCACCACACGGUGAGAGAGGUGUAUGGGUUCGUCGACGCUUCAACACCUGGUGGCUCCAGAGGGUACCAGUUGUUGACCAUGGCGUUCCCUCAUAAACAGUUGACGGACUUGGACCAAACCAUCGAGCAAGCUGGUAUAGCUAACUCGGUCGUCAUCCAGAAGUUUUAGUUUUAUUCAGAUUUAAGACCCCAUUCAGUUUGUCUCUAUCUUUCUUUGCUUGUUUUUUUAAGUGUUUGAGAACCUUUAUCGAUGAUUCAACUACUUGGUCAACCUUUAGGAUUUGGAUAAUUUGAGAUAAUCGUCAAAUCUCAUUUUUUCCUUUAAAAUCAAUUUCUUAGGCUUUUACAGUUUCAUUUCAUUUUAUAUUCCAAAGUUGGAACUAAAAUUCAAUAAGAAAUGGUGACUCAACUACAGUAGACUUAUUUUAUAUCCUGGAUCUUUUAGGGAGAGUAACUCCGCCUAUCCUUUCCGGCGAAGACUGUGAUAAGCUAGCGGUGCCAUUGGCUUUUGUUCAGAAGAAACAGAGAUCUAAGAAGUUUAAAUAUAGUGGCUAGUUGUGAGACUCCCUUUAGGAUAAAGGUUUAGGAGUCUGAUUAAAUAAAGAAUAAGAAAGUCAAACGUUGUUGUUUAAUAAUUGCAUUUCUCUUAUUAGUAUCAAGUGGUAAACAUUUGGAAAGUUAUCAAAAUUGAUCAAUUAAAAAGAACUAGGUAAUAAAACACGCCUUGCGCAAAAUGUGAUUAUUAGUUUCGUUAUUUUUUAAUAAAGAGACAUUAAUCUGUUUAAUCUGGAUAUUAGUUUGGUUUUAGGUUGUUUUAUAGUUUUUAAUCUCCUAAAAUAUAACUAUCAUUUUAAAUCAAUAUUUAUUUGGUUUGUUCGGUUAAAAUGUUUGAUGUUUUUAGGUUUUUUUUCAUGUGAUAUCAAAAAUUACUAUUAUUUGUUUGUUUUUGUGUUAUGAAUCUUAGAUGGUCGUGAUGUCGAACCAAUGGUUUCAUAUUAUAGUUUCUAAACGGAUAAUAGUUAAAAAAAAAAGUUAUUAAGACAAAUCAUUUUACUACAAUUUGGUCGAUAUUGAAAGAAGCAUUAAGAAAAAUAAUAUUUUAACUUCCAAAACAUUUAGAUAUUUCAGUUGUGAUAAAUACUUAGUUAUAAGGUGCUCACGUCAAUGUGCACAUGUAUGUGUAUGUAAAAGUAUAUAAAGAUGGUUGAUAAAUAUAUAAAUAUAUUGUUAAUUAAUAUUAAAUGAUAUUUUUUUCAAAAUAAUACAUGAAAAAUAAAAUUCUUAAAAUGAAAUGAUUUAAAAACAAAAUAUUUUAAAAUUUAUAUAAACUAUAAACUAUAAUUCUUUAAAUAUAUAUAUAUAACGGAUCAAAAUUGGAUAUAUGUUCCUAUAAAUAUUGAUAUUUGUGAUUUGUUAUUUUUUUUUUAAGAAUAUUGCAUUUUAAUAUUUGAUUUACUUCGUAGAGUAACAAAUAUCCAGAUUUUUUGGUUCGAAUAAAAACGGAUAACGAAUCGAAUCAAAAUUUAUGAAUAAUUUGUCCAACUCUAUUCGUAAACAGUAAAAAUAACGUUAAGAAGAACUAUGCAUGUGAGUAUUAUAUUAAAAACGUAAAGUACAUAGUGUAAACAUAUUUAUAUAGAGUUUGGAUGAGAAACUCUCUACAUGUGACAUGUGUUCAUUUUAGUGUAAACGCAUUUAUUACAACGUUUCUACACGUGACAUGUGUCUAAUUUAGUGUGAAUACAUUUAUUACAAUAUUUCUUCUUUAAUAUAUAAGAGUUCUUAUUUUCUCCCUUUUUUCUAUCUUUCUCUCUCUCUUAUUACGGAGAAAGCACAUGUUUAUCAUUAGUAUCAAAGCUUGAUCAUGACUCCUAAGCAAGAUUCUGGUGCAGCUAAUGCAGAGAGGAUCUCAGCCGUGUAGAGUCAGCUGCGCAAUGUUACCGACUCCAUCGAAAAACUUAGAGAGGCGGCUAAAAGCAUCUCCAAAAAGCACUCAAUAACUUUAAAUAUGAAGUUUUUUGCUAUUUAAAAAGGAACUUCAAAACUUCAAAUUUGAAGUUUCGAAGAGUGAAACUCUAUAUUUGAAGUUUCACUACUCAAACUUCAAAUUUGAAGUUUCAUAUUUUUAUGCAAUUUGGUCCACACAAUCAUAGAUCAUAUUUAUGAUUCAUAAAUAUUUUCUUGUUUAUUGUUUUAAUCCUUAAAAAAAUUAUACCUCAUAAAUAUUUUAAUUUUUGUUUACAGAUUUUAAAUUUUACACAUAAAAUUAAAUAAAACUUUAAAAUAAGAUUUAAAAUAUUUUAANNNNNNNNNNNNNNNNNNNNNNNNNNNNNNNNNNNNNNNNNNNNNNNNNNNNNNNNNNNNNNNNNNNNNNNNNNNNNNNNNNNNNNNNNNNNNNNNNNNNUAAACUGACGUCAUCAGCAGCUGUGAUAACGGAAAAUUGCGUUACAGAAGACAUAAUCCUCUUGUGAUUUGUCAGAAAGCUAUUCGGAUUUGCCUUCAAAAAUUUUUUGAACAACUGUUAAAUUUAUUCAAUACAAAAAAAACCUUUUUCACAUUGUAGUGCAUCUUUAUUAAAGUUUUUCAAAAGAAUAAAAAUUUAAUAAAUCAUAUGAAUUUAUCCCUAUCAAGUUCUUGUACUAAACCAAAAACGCACCCAUUAGCAUGACUGAACUCAGCCUAUUGCGGAUCAUUUUUUGAUGGUGCUGAUGAGAUUUCCUUGUGUAGAGUAUGACUCUCAAUGUCUUCUGCAAUUUUGUUCCCUCUAUAAAUUAUGGACACUGAGUUGAAACAGGUACCUAUUGAUGAACAGUAUUAUCUUGUCAAAAUGUGAAGUCACAGAUCAACAAGAUGAGAGUGUCCCAGUCGACAAUGAACUUGUCUUUCAGCACUUCUUUUGCCAAAAUUGUCCAGAUUGUUGCUGCAAAAGGACAGGGAAAAAAAAGAUGAUUUCUGGUCUCUACUUGGUGCUGACAUAAACUGCAAGUUGUGUUGAUGUCUCCAUUCCAUUUCGCCAUUCUUUCUAAUGUGGCCAAGCGAUCUUUAAUUGGUGUCCAGACCAUGAAAGCGCACUUCGGUGUAACAUAACGAAACCAAACGCCCUUGCUCCAGUUGCAGACCGGUUUCUCCUCUCUUAUCAGUACCCAAGUUGUUUUUGAAUCAAAGCGAUUCUUGUACUUAUUCGCUUUUCCCCUCCGGGACAUCAAAUUAUUCAGAACACACAAAUGAUAGACAUCCAAAAGAAAUAUAGGAAUUCCAAUGAUAAAUGUUUAUCAACGUUCCAAAGUUUUUUUAGAUCAAGAAUCGAAGAAAAUGAUUAAAUUAUAAGAAGACUCAUGCGCUGCAGAAAAAUGACGAUGUUUGUGUCUUACAAAUUUGUUCAAGUGAAAAUUUAGUUGAUUUAUUCAUAAAAACGCUACCCACUGCUAUUUAUUAAAAGCUAAUUCAUCUUAUCAGAUUAAGUUAUCCAAAGAUCUCGACAUAUGUACACAUGAGAAUGAAUCAUUAAGUGUUCACAUUUUUUUCUUUAACCAUAGAUUUUUUACAUUGAAUUUUCCUGGUAAAAGCAUCAUCUUAUGCAAAUAAUAGUCUUUAAGCAUAAAUGUUAUGAAUGUUGUAUUGAUGUCAAGAAUAGAAAAUUAUUCUCCAAACUUUAAUUAUUCUUAAAGGUAGACUUAAUCCCAAAGUUAUUGUACUCCUAUAUAAAGUACUCAUUACUUAUAGAAUAAGAUACAUCAAUUCAUUUAUUUUUUUUCUUACUUCCAACAAAUUUCAUUUUAUCACAAUUCUAUUUUUUUGGCAAAAUUCUUAAAAGACCAAAAAAUAGGUUUUUUUACCACAAGAACACACAAGAAGAAAAAUCACAAAAAGUUACAAUAAAGAGGUAAAAGAACAUUAUACCCUCUUUACUUUAUAGAUAUAUAAAUAUAAAUAAAUAUUUAAACAAAUAACAAAAAUAAUUUUUAUUAUUUUCGAAAAUACUUUUUCAAUUCAAACUUUUUGAAUUUUUUCUCAAUUGUUUUUUCUAAAUUUUAUUUUAAAAUCCAAAAAUUCUUUUCGAAUCUAUUUUUAAAAUUAUUCUUUAUAAUAAAAUCUUAAACCCCAUCCCCCCCCAAAAAAACGUAUUUCUAAAAUCUAAACUCUAAUAUAUAUAAUAUAUUAGUUAACUAUACUGAUAUAAAUAUUUUUUUGUUUCAUUAAUAAAACAUUUUGGUCAUUUUGACAGGUGUAUGGUAUAUUUAAGAUUAAAAAAAAAUUGGUGUUAUUUUAGAAAAUUUCUGUUCUUUUUUUGCUGGCUAGAUAGUUUUACUGAUAUCAAAACAAAUUUACAAAAUCUUUACAUAAUAAAACAAUUUCAUGUGCCAGUCUUAAAGGAUGAUUUAAACGAAUUUAUAAAUCGUUUUAGCCUUACUCGCUAAUAGAUUCUCGUUUGACUAUUUCUACUUCCCAUCCAUUUUCGUUUCUCUAAUUUGUGACGACUAUCUAUAGUGGUCAAACAUGGAAUCACCUCAAUUCUAAAUACAGAUUCAUAUUUUCCUAACAUAUUGCAUAAUAUUCAUGCACAUCACGUCAUAGUUUCGAAGAUGAUAUUACUCUCAUUAUAAUCAGAAUUGUUUUAGUGUUGUUUUGAUCUUGGUAAAGAAAUGGCCGGCGAUGGUGGCACCCAACGAUCUCCCAAGAACACUGAUGUAUUAAAAACCGACAAAACCAUUCCUAAAACAAAACAUCGAUCCAUUGAUACUAACGACAGCGUCCCACACUCUCCUACAAGCUCCGGCGGGUUCACAAACGCUAGCCGCCUCUCCGUCGACUCUCAGAGACCGAAACCACCAUCACCGGGAACAUAUCUCGUUCAAAUCCCCAGAGAACAGAUUUACCGUGUUCCUCCGCCGGAGAAUGCUCGCCGUUACGAAGAUCUCUCUCGCCGGAAGCCUAAUCGAUCAGCUUGUCGCCGGUGCUGCUGCUACUCUUUAACUGUUCUACUCGUUCUUGUCACCCUCGCGGCGGUUCUUGUCGGGAUCUUCUUCCUCGUUUUCCGACCGCAUAAGCCGACGUUCUCCGUGAGUGAGGUCUCCGUCGCCGGAAUCAAUCUGACGUCGUCAACGUCUCUGAUAUCUCCACUGAUCAAAAUCAAGGUGAGGUCUGAGAACGUUAACGAAAAACUCGGGUUAAUAUACGGCGGAGGAAGCGCGGCAGAGAUUUUCUACGACGGAGUCAAGCUAGGUGACGGCGAGUUCACGGCGUUUGAUCAGCCGCCGGAGAAUGUAACGGUGACGGUGACGACGUUGAGAGGAUCAAGGAUCCAGUUAACGAGCUCCACGCUGGAAGAUUUAAAGGAAUCGGAGAAGAAAGGAAAAGUGCCGUUUGAUUUGAGGGUUAAAGCGCCGUUUAAGUUUAAAGUUAGCGCCGUGACCAUGUGGACGAUGGCCGUUACGGUGGACUGCAAACUAACAGUGGAUAAACUGACGUCAUCAGCAACUGUGAUAACCGAAAAUUGCGUUACCGAAGGCAUAAUCCUUUUGUGAUUUGUCAGAAAGAUAUUCGGAUUUUCGUAUUAUUAUUGUUUAGUUUGUUUGAUUUAUUAAUACAUUGUAUGAACAAAAAUUGAAAUUUAAUAAUUUUCAAAUAAAAGUUUUAUUUGGUUCAGAUCAUGAAUAUGAAAGAGGAAACUAAUCAAAAUAUUUAAUAAGUCAGUUACUUUAUUUUACAUCAAUGUUACAUGAAAUUUAGCAUUAAUAAACUAAAGUGAUUAAAAUAUCUUACAAUUAAUGAUAUAAAUAAAAACUCAAAAGAAAAUUUGUUUCAAGAAGUUCACUUUUAUAUAAAAAAAUAAAACCAUUUAAAUAUGUUAUAGCCUUCAAACCAAAGAGUUUUAACUCCAUUAGUGUUCCAUAAAAGAAUACAUUAGACAAGACCAAAUUGCCAAUGAUGUUUGGACAUAGAAACAUGCAUCAAAAUAUACAUCUAAGCUCUAAAACCUCCGACCUAAAACGUUUAACUCAAGUGUGCAGCGCUACGAGUUACUCUUCUCCUAGUGAUACCACUACUCGAGGCUAAGGAAGCUUGUGAAGAAACGUUUUCAGCCGAGUCCCUGUGCCUCCUUAUUUUUCUUUUCUUGGAUCUUAAGGAUGUCGCUUGAGUAUCGGUUUCCUCCUCAUCAUCAUCAUUCAAUGCUGCUUCAACAGCUUCUUCUUUUGCAACUCUACCCAACGGCCAUGGCUUCCCGCAACCAGAACAAACUCUAUCAUCCUGCAAACGUUUAUAUGAUCAGAAAGUUACAAUACUAUUGAUGUCAAACUCAAAUCCAUUGGGGUUAAUGUGUGUGUGUACCCUUUGAGACGACAAGUUUUUGAGGCAGUACUUGUGUAUCCGGACCGUACAACCUUCAUUUGGACACAAAUCCGCCUGGAAAUAACAAAGCAUCAGAUACGAAAUCAACAGCUAAUAUAACAUAAUCACAAUGUGAGAAUGCAGACCUUUACUCCAGCUUCAUUGCAAACCUCGCAAGAAGGAACAUCAUUGCUCCUGAACCAACUACGCAGGUCAAGAAGAGAUCUUAUACCAAGUCCAAUGUUGUUACCGUCUCUUGUGCGGCAUAGCCAGUUGUCCUUCACGAGUUCAUCGAGAGUUUUGUCCUUUUGCGACAUUGAAAAGUUUCUGAAUGCAGGAGGGACUUGCUGUUGACUGCUACUGGCUUCACUUGGUACCUGAGAAAUUUCAACGCAAGAUCUAUCAACCGUAACAAAGAGACCUAAACAGGUGGGAUGAAACACUUUGUAGCAACCAACAAGAAUAUAACUCAGAGUGCAUGAGUAUUUGAUCAACAAGCCUAUAAGCAACAAAGUAAAUUAUCGUUUCAAAAUCUCAAAGAGAAUACUUUCCAGUGACUCUGUAAGAUAGUAGCAGAGUUUAGAAGUCACCAUGAUCAGUUGAUUGACAAAGUGAUAAUGAAUGAUUUCCUUUCAUCAAUAGAUGAAUAUAUAUAGAUAUAUACAGUAGAUGAUUGACCUGGUUCUCCAAUCGGAUAUUGAGGGCAUCAAAGCCUGAUAUGCAACCUUGAGCAGCUUCAUCAUGUGCAAUUGCUUCUAUCUGCCACAAGUUAAAAGUCAUCAAUAAAACUCCAUAAUCAUCUCAAUGCUCAUAGAGCAAGACAUACAGGAGACUCAAGAAUUUAAUGUGUAAAGACGUGCAAAUGCAACUUACAAUGCCUUUGAAGAAGGCAAUCUGAGGAACGGAGUACUUAGUGCCGAGUUUGGAUUGAUCAUCGGAGACAGUGUUGACAACUCCGUAACAAACAUGGCCAUCAUACUGAUCUCUACAAGCCCUCAGCUCAAAAUGAACAUAAGAGAGCUCUUUGUUUAUCUCGAGAAGGUACUUGUCAAAUAUCUUCUUAGCAUCUCCUGCCAACCAAAACCAAUGAAGAACAUUAAAAACCGUUCCUUUUAACAUUCAAAGAUAACCACCGUUACCAUCAAUCAAUGUACAACAAUGGCCACGACUAGGUUAGAUAGUAAUUCCCGAUGGUUAACAGCGACUGAUCAAAUCGGGUAAAGUACAGAUUUUUAUUCAACGAAAACCCAAUUCGGAGAAAACCCACAAAAUUUACUUACAGAUUCAUUCGAAACGAAUAACAGAGAGACAGACCUGGGUUUCUGCCGGUGACGCCGGUGAAGAUUGAAUGAAACUCUUUCUCCUUGAGAGGGCCUCGCGAAAUCAAAGCCUGUAUUAGCGUGUGGUGCUUCCAGCUUAGCGAUGCCAUCUUCACAGAUAAAAGAAAAAAAGAGCAAUUCCAGUCUAGGGUUUCUGUGAGCUAGGGUUUUCUGGGAGAAGGAGACGACGAUGAGAGAGAUAGAGAUGGCGGGAAAGUGAAUCGAAACGACGUCGUAAUCCGCCAGCUAAUUUUAAUUUGGAUUUAAUUGUUUUCCCUGGAACCAUCUUUAUGCGGUAAUUGCAGUUUGGUCACUGUUUUAAUGGAUAAUAGCACAUAUAACCAUUAACUAUAUUGGAAUUUUAAAAACGACAUAACCAAAUCAAUCUCUCUUUUUUUACUUGAGUAGAUAUCCGCCGCGACUUGAAAAUAAUGAAUUUUUUUUUUAACAUUUAUUAUCCAAUGACGCUUAUCUAUUUACUUUAAUAUCCAAUGACUAUCCAAUAAAAAAAUCAAUUACUCUUUUUUAAACAUAUACUAAUAUAGAUUAAUAUCCCCAAUAAAAAACCAAUUACUCUUUGUUACUUGGAUUAAAAUAUCCAAUGACUUAUCUAUUUAAUAAGAUUCCAUACACAUAAGAUUUUAUGAUCAUUUGUAUUUUUUUACAACAAAAAUUUUUAAACAUAUAAUUCAAAAUUUCAAUAUAAUACAUUUAAUAGUUUUGCAUAAUUAUAUGUGCAUUAUUUAUGCUGUCAAAAAAUAAAUACAUAUUUGAAAGAUUUUUCUUUUUACUUUUGAAAGUUCAGUUAUCUAAACUAAAAUUCAAAAGAAAACGAAUUCUCGAUUUUUCAAUUUAAAUAUAUGGUAGCCUUAAAACCAAAGAGUUUGAACUCCAUCAGUGUUCCACAAGAGAACAUUACAUCAGACCAAAUGUCAGGUGAUGUUUGGACAUAGAAACAUGCAUCAAAAUAUACAUCUAACCCCUAAAACAGGAGUUCUGAAACGUUUUCCCCCUUAACUCAAGUGUGUAGCGCUAAGAGUUACUCUUCUCCUAGUGGACGCUUGAGAAGAAAGGUUUUCAGCUGAGUCUCUUUAACUCCUAUGUUUUCUUUUGUUCGUACUGAAAGCUGUGGCUUGAGUAGCGGUGUCCUCAUCAUCAUCAUUCACUGCUGCUUUAUCAUCCUGCAAAGUUUAUGUGAUCAGAGAGUUCCAUACUAUUGAUGUCAAACUCAAAUCCAUUAUGAUUGAGGGAAAAUCUAAAAAAGCUGUGUGUGUGUACCCUUUGAGAUAACAAGUUUCUGAGGCAGUACUCGUUCGGACACAAAUCCGCCUAGAAACAAAGUGUUAGAAUACAAAGCAUCAGAUAGCAAAAUCAACAGCUAAUAUAUCAUAUCACAAUGUGAGAAUGCAGACCUUUACUCCAUCAGCUUCAUUGCAAACCUCGCAAGAAGGAACUUCAUAGUUCCUGAAACAACUGCGCAGGUCAAGAAGAGAUUUCAUACCAAGUCCAAUGUAACCGCCUUUUGUGCGGCACAGCCAGGCGUUCUUCACAAGUUCAUCGAGAGUUUCUUCCUUUUCAGACAUUGAAAAGUUCUUGAAUGCAGGAGGGACUUGCUGUUGACUGCUGCUGGCUUCACUUGGUGGUACCUGAGAUAUCAAACACAAGAUCAGCCAUAUAGUCCAGAAAAAUGAAUAAGGAUGAUAAAAAUGGCAAUAUAGAUACAUUCCAAUGACUCUGUUAGAUAGUAGCAGUUGUAAAGUCACCAUGAGAUGAUUAAGAAGUGGAUAUGGAUGGUUCCUUUUCUCACUAGAUGAAGAAACAUAUAUACAAAGAAGCCAGGGACAACGAUUGACCUGGUUCUCCAAUUGGAUAUUGAGGGCCUCAGAGCCCGAUAACCAACCUCGGGCAGCUUCAUCCUGUACCAUUGCUUCUAUCUGCCAGAAGUUUUAGUCACAAUGUCAAGUAACAAGUAGCAGAGCUAUCCACUCUAUACAACCCACAAUCAUCUCAGUGCACACAUAGCAUGAAGAGAGAAAAGACAUUUGCAGUGCGACUUACAAUGCCCUUAAAGAAGGUAGUCUGGGGAACAGAAAAUUUAGUCCUGACUUUGGGUUGAUCAUUGGAGACUUUGUUAACCACACGGUCCACACCGUUACAAACAUGGCCAUCCUGCUGAUCUCCACAAUCCAUCAACUCAAAGCGAACAUGAGUAAGGUACUUGUCAAAUAUCUUCUCAGCAGCUCCUGUCAACAAAAACCAAUGAAGAAUGUCAAAAACAGUUCCUUUUUAAGUUUUAACAUUCAACCGUUAAGAUAACCAGUAACUGAAUCAUUUCAAUUAGAUUGCACAGAUUGUUAACAGCGGCUGAUCAAAUUGGAUAAAGUUCAGAUUUUUAUUCAACGAUUAACCAAUCAGAAGCAAACCCACAAAAUUUACUUACAGAUUCGUCGGAAACGAAUAACAGAGAGACAGACCUGGGUUUCUACUGGUGACGCCGGUGAAGAUUGAAUGAAAUUGUUUCUCCUUGAGAAAGCCUCGAGAAUUCAAAAACUGAAUUAGACUGUGGUACUUGCAGUUUAGCGAUACCAUCCUCACAGACAAAGAAAAAGAGCAAUUUCAGAGUUUAGGGUUUCUGUGAAUUAGGGAUUUCUAGGAGAAGGAGACGACGAUGAGAGAGAGAUGGCGGGAAAGUGAAUCGAUACGAUGUCGUCGUCGUUUAUUUUAAGAACAACUAAUUUUUAUUAAAAAUCAAAUUCUAUACGACGUCGUAUGUUGCCAGCUUUUUUUUUGCAUUCAGAAUUUUAGUUUUUUUUUUUUUUUUUCGGAAACGCGAAAGCGUGCGAGUAAAAUCUUUACGCUAGUUUGUUUUACUGUGGUUAGGGGCAGUUGAGUCGCGGUAAUUGCAGUUUGGUCACGAGUUUAAUGUAUAUUAGCACAUCUAACCAUUAACUAUAUUGGAAUUUCAAAAACAACAGGAUGAAAGCAAAUUACUUCUUUUUUUGGGUGUGUUUUAAUUACUUUUAAAAUUGACAAAAGAAUAUGAGCUGUCAUGAGUUGAAUUUGCUAGUAAUAAUACGAAACGACAGUGUAGGUAAUUUUGAGUUUGAAUAAUGUUAUCAUCAAAGAGGAAACAAAGUGGGUUUGAAUAAGUUAAUAGUAAGUUUUGUAUAAAAUUUUAAAUUAAAAGAAAUUAAGAGGAAAAGUUAAAUACAUGACAAUGAUGAUGGGGUUGCUUUUUCAUUUAAAGGAGAGAGAGAAGAACAUAGGAAAGGCAAUGAAAACGGUCACACAAGAUGACAAGACCACUCUGCACACUCUCUACACCACGUCCCCUCGUCCCCUCGUUUAUCCUACACUGCACGGCCUACGUAAGCAUUUCAUAUUUUGUCUUUUUUACCACUACUAUAUUAUACUCUGUAUUUCAGAAAUUACGUACAAAAACGAUUUCUAAACUUUGGGUUCACGUGUUUUUUUUUUUUUUUUAAUAUAUAUAUAUUAAAUCAAUUCGAAAUACGGGAAUUCAGAUUCGGUUACAAACUCGAUUUGAACAAAAACUCCUAUGUUAAUCUAUCACAUUCUAGUUUCGCCCACCCACUAAAUCCAACACGUUCCAUUAGUCCGAUUUUCGAAAUCCUUAAAAAUUGGUUGCUGUUCUCAACUUUGGGUUCACGUUUGUUCUGACCAAGUGUGAAAUUUAAAAAUAAAGUGAUGCCAAUCUGUAAUUAAUCAAAAUUUGAGAUUGUUGUGAUACCGUUUGUUCAUUAAUAGUUUGAUCUCUCUAUAGUAACAUAACAUGUUGUAGAAUGUAGAUAUAGGGAUAUAAAUGCGCAUCGUGGCUUGAAGUUGUUCAUAAAUGAAAGUAACUAAAACUUCCUAACAUAUGCAAUAAUAUGGAAGAUGAGAAGGAUAUAGAUACCACACACUAUCAGUAAUUUAAUACCAUGACCAUUAAAAGAAGAAUCCAAAGGUAUAUGAAACGAAGACGAAGUGGAGCAUAUGUAUAAAGAUAAUAUGUAUUUCACAAUGUUAUAUGCAUGUGUUACCUGCCGUUAUACCCAGUAACGGAAGCCAAACCAAAUACCACACUCGUAUCACACGUUCAUCCAGUUAACGAGGAUAACAUAGUUCUUAUAUACAUAAGAGUAGUUUCUCUAAGGUAUGUGUAACGAACGUGCAUAUAUUUGAUUCCUUAAUUAAGAUAAGCGCUAGUAAGCUCACCAAAUUAUUUAUAACAAUAAAUGCAAAAGUAAUUAACUUUUUUCCUUCCUUAACAAUAGAAAAAGUAAACACGUGAGAAAGAGGUUUUUCAUCUUCUCUCCUCUCCUAGUGAGAGAAUUUUUCUCUUAAAUCCUCUGAUCUUCUUAUCUCAUCUUUAUCUUUCAGAAGAUUUAGAGUUUGAUUUGUGGGAGUGAGAGUUAGAUGUUUUGUUUGCCGGUUUCGGUUUUACCGUCCGGCUCUUGUCUCCGGUGGUGGAUCAGUUCCUCCGAUCAUCGUCCGGCUCUGCCUCCGGGAAGCGACGACUCUCACAGCGUCGACUUCGUCGGCUUCUGUCUCCGGGAGACGAUGUCUUCAUGGAAUCGUUCUCGCCGGCACCGCUCGAUCUACGAUUCAGUUCUUCGUUGUCCGACUGCCUCUCGCUCCAAUCCUCUGUUGAUUAGGAUCGAUUGUAGGCGUCGUUGUUUCUUCUCUGAAUUGUAGAUCCACCAGUUUUGGCUUUCGGUUUGAGCCUCUGUGAAGAUUGGUUCUUCUGUGGUUCGUCUUCGUCGUCGGCGGAGUUCCGUCGCCUCCUCUGGUUCCGGUGGAAGGAAGUGGUUCCUCGUCUUGACCCGUGUCUCAUUGAUCGCCGGGCGAUCGUCCACGUGGAAGAUGACGUGCCGUAGCUUGCUUCCUCGACGGUUUUCCUUUCUGUGUUGGGCCCGUGUGUUGGGUUUCUUUCUUAAUGUUAGUUGGGCUUCGUCUUGCUUUUUCGUUUUGGUUUGUAUAGGGCUUGGUCUUGUUGGGCUGAGUUUCUUUUAAUAAAAUUCCAGUGGACUAAAAAAAAGAAAAAGUAAACACGUGAGGGGAGGAGAAACGGAUAUCAAACAAUAGGACAAAGGAAACGAAAAGAAUAAAAAUAUAAUAAUCCAGGAAUAUAGGGGCCAAAUUAAUAAUAACGAAAAGUGGGACCCACAUUAUUGCUUGUUUUGAGUCUGCUUCUUUAAAACAAAGCGUAGGAGAGAAGAAGCAGCAGGCUCUCGCAAACCACCCCCAAAACCAAACCGCAGAAACCUCUCUCUCUCCGUAGCUCUAGCGUCUAGGGUUUCUUCUCCGUCUCGUCUUCCGUCGUCUUCGCCGUUUCUUAUUAGCUAAAGGUACAGACUUUCUUAGUCAAAACCUUUUCUAAUGUCUUUCUCCCAUGCAUAGUCACUGUUUAGCCCUUCGGUUUUUGCUCUUAACGAUUUCGUGUGUACGGCUUCUUAGUCUUCGCCUUUCUUCUACCGCUGAUGUUGUGAAUCGCUCUAAAGUCGUGAUUUUUCUUAGUGGGUUUUUCAUGGGUUUUAGGGUUUUUGUCACAGUUAUCUUAAUCUGCACGUAGAUCUAUCCAUCGGUUCAUGGUUUGUAUGCUGUUUCUGCUCUUAGUAAUCUGUUCUUAUAUCUUACCUGCUGUAAGUUGAACUGUGGUUUUUUUUGUGGGUUUCUAUUUUUGUCAUAGAUCUCUUCUUUUCUGCUUUUAUGAUGUGUUCUGGUUAUCAUAAUCUGUUGAAAAGUUUAAAACUUUUUUCAAUCUUUGAGAUGGGUUUCUUUUGUUUUCACUUGUCAUCUAGCCGCUUGAUGUGUAUGUGUAUAUGACGCUAUAAAGUGUUCGUUUUAUUUUUCUUGGAAUAAAAGUUAGUCUUAUAUGUUUUGGGUGUUGUCUUGUUUUUGCCUUGCAGAUAUGGGUUCUGAUGAAGAUAAAGCGCUACCGCUUCCUCCACCUGUCCUUCCUCCAAACCUCGUUCCCGAGGUGGAGCCCAUCAAGAAGAACACUCUCCUUCCGAUGGCCCGGCGCGGCACUGGGUCCAAAGGACAGAGGAUUCCCCUUCUCACCAAUCACUUCAAAGUGAACUUCAACAACGCUAGCGGCCAGUUCUUCCAUUACAGUGUAAUGCUUCCUGUCUCCUCCUCUAAUGUAUUAUUUGUCUCGCUCUAAUGGUUCAAUGCUUUUAACAUACUUGUUUUGUCUCCUCUGUGAUUGUUGGAUGCAGGUUGCUAUAACGUAUGAAGAUGGCCGUCCGGUGGAAGCUAAAGGUAUCGGCAGGAUCAGACCUAUAAAACUGACUUGGGAUCCAAGUACUUUGCAUAUGAUGGCGAGAAGACUCUCUUCACCGUUGGUCCUCUUCCCAGCAACAAACUUGACUUCUCUGUCGUUCUUGAAGACGCUCCUUCUAGCAGG
rnacentral:lncRNA from 1 species